rnacentral:tRNA from 1 species
UUCAUCGGCCGGGAAUUGAACCCGGGGCGCCCGCGUGGCAGGCGAGCAUUCUAUCACUGAACCAAAAGCAAACAGUGA